GGUUGUGUAGUGUAGUGGUUAUCACUGUAGGUUCUCGUCCGGCAACCCCGGUUCGAGCCCGGGCACGACCU
rnacentral:tRNA from 1 species